UACAGAGGGUGCAAGCGUUGUUCGGAAUUAUUGGGCGUAAAGCGCGCGUAGGCGGCUUUGUAAGUUAGAGGUGAAAGCCCGGAGCUCAACUCCGGAAUUGCCUUUAAGACUGCAUCGCUAGAACGUCGGAGAGGUGAGUGGAAUUCCGAGUGUAGAGGUGAAAUUCGUAGAUAUUCGGAAGAACACCAGUGGCGAAGGCGACUCACUGGACGACUGUUGACGCUGAGGUGCGAAAGCGUGGGGAGCAAACAGG
rnacentral:rRNA from 1 species